AUUGAACGCUGGCGGCAGGCUUAACACAUGCAAGUCGAACGAGUGGCGGACGGGUGAGUAAUGCUUGGGAAUCUGGCUUAUGGAGGGGGAUAACGACGGGAAACUGUCGCUAAUACCGCGUACCAUAGGAUGAGCCCAAGUGGGAUUAGGUAGUUGGUGGGGUAAUGGCCUACAAGGCUGACGAUCGCUACCUGGUCUGAGAGGAUGACCAGCCACACGAGGAGUGAGAGACGGCCCGGACUCCUACGGGAGUCAGCAGUGGGGAAUAUUGCGCAAUGGGGGCAACCCUGAUGCAGCCAUGCCGCGUGUUUGAAGAAGGCCUUCGGGUUGUAAAGCACUUUCAGCGGGGAGGCGUUACCCGCAGAAGAAGCACCGGCUAACUCCGUGCCAGCAGCCGCGGUAAUUC
rnacentral:rRNA from 1 species